rnacentral:rRNA from 1 species
UACAGAGGUCUCAAGCGUUGUUCGGAUUCAUUGGGCGUAAAGGGUGCGUAGGUGGCGCCGUAAGUCAGGUGUGAAAUUUCGGAGCUUAACUCCGGAACUGCAUUUGAUACUGCGGUGCUUGAGGACUGGAGAGGAGACUGGAAUUCACGGUGUAGCAGUGAAAUGCGUAGAUAUCGUGAGGAAGACCAGUGGCGAAGGCGGGUCUCUGGACAGUUCCUGACACUGAGGCACGAAGGCCAGGGGAGCAAACGGG